rnacentral:rRNA from 1 species
CCUGGUUGAUCCUGCCAGUAGUCAUAUGCUUGUCUCAAAGAUUAAGCCAUGCAUGUCUAAGUAUAAGCACUUGUACUGUGAAACUGCGAAUGGCUCAUUAAAUCAGUUAUCGUUUAUUUGAUUGUACCUUACUACAUGGAUACCUGUGGUAAUUCUAGAGCUAAUACAUGCGAAAGAUCCCGACUUCACGGAAGGGAUGUAUUUAUUAGACUAAAAACCAAUGCGGGCCUCGGUCCGCUUGCUUGGUGAUUCAUGAUAACUUUUCGAAUCGCAUGGCCUUGCGCCGGCGAUGUUUCAUUCAAAUUUCUGCCCUAUCAACUGUCGAUGGUAAGGUAGUGGCUUACCAUGGUUGCAACGGGUGACGGAGAAUUAGGGUUCGAUUCCGGAGAGGGAGCCUGAGAAACGGCUACCACAUCUAAGGAAGGCAGCAGGCACGAAAAUUACCCAAUCCCGAUCCCCGGGAGGUAGUGACAAGAAAUAACGGUACGGGGCCUUUAUAGGUCUCGCAAUCGGAAUGAGAACAAUUUAAAUCCUUUAACGAGGAUCAAUUGGAGGGCAAGUCUGGUGCCAGCAGCCGCGGUAAUUCCAGCUCCAAUAGCGUAUAUUAAAGUUGUUGCAGUUAAAAAGCUCGUAGUUGGAUUUCGGAGCGGGCCCGUUGGUCCACCGCAAGGUGAGCUACUGGCGGGUCUGUUCUUCUUCGCAAAGACUGCAGGUGCACUUCGCUGUGUGCUUGUCGGAUUUGUGACGUUUACUUUGAAAAAAUUAGAGUGUUCAAAGCAGGCUUUCGCUUGAAUACAUGAGCAUGGAAUAAUGGAAUAGGACUUUGGUUCUAUUUUGUUGGUUUCUAGGACCGAAGUAAUGAUUAAGAGGGACAAACGGGGGCAUCUGUAUUUCGUUGUCAGAGGUGAAAUUCUUGGAUUUGCGAAAGACAAACAACUGCGAAAGCACUUGCCAAGAGUGUUUUCAUUAAUCAAGAACGAAAGUUAGAGGAUCGAAGACGAUCAGAUACCGUCCUAGUUCUAACCAUAAACGAUGUCGACUAGGGAUCGGCGGGCGUUAUUUUAUGACCCCGUCGGCACCUUACGGGAAACCAAAGUUUUUGGAUUCCGGGGGUAGUAUGGUUGCAAAGCUGAAACUUAAAGCA